rnacentral:rRNA from 1 species
GUCUACGGCCAUACCACCCUGAACGCGCCCGAUCUCGUCUGAUCUCGGAAGCUAAGCAGGGUCGGGCCUGGUUAGUACUUGGAUGGGAGAAGGGUAGUUUGAUGUUGGAGACA